AUGAGUUGUUUAAGUUGGAACUGCCGUGGGCUUGGGAACCCAGCGACAGUUCGUGAGCUUCGCAAUAUUGUGAAGCAGGAAGGGCCUAGUCUCCUCUUUGUGAUGGAGACAAAGAUUUUGGCUAAUCGAGUGGAAAGCCUGCAGAACCAACUAGGGUUCUCAUGGUGUUUUGCGGUUAAUAGUAAUGGUCUAAGUGGUGGGAUUGGUAUGUUUUGA
rnacentral:rRNA from 1 species